AGGUAAGCUACGGGAUGUUCUCCGCCAUCUGCUCCAACUUGGCUCAGCACUGCUCCCAAUCCAAACAUUGAAGCGUCUGUGUGGACAAGAAAUCGUUUUGUUGGAUCAGGAGCAGCAAGUACAGGUGCAUUGGUUAAAGCAGUCUUGAGUUGAUGGAAUGCCUGAUCACACUCUGGGGCCCAGAUGACCUGUUGAGGAAGGUUCUUGCGGGUCAAGUCAGUCAGGGGUUUGGCCAGGGCACUAUAAUUAGGUACGAAUUUUCGGUAGUAACCUGUGGUACCCAGGAAGGCUAACACUUGAGGUUUUGUCCGGGGGGGUAGGCCACUUAGCUACUGCUUCGAUUUUUGCUGGUUCGGGCUUUUGCUGUCCUCUCCCUACUCGGUGACCCAGGUACUGCACCUCUGCCAUCCC